rnacentral:rRNA from 1 species
AUGGAAAUUAAUUGUCUGAGGGGCUUAUUCGGGGUAUCUUCACCUCGUCCAGUUGAGCCAAGAUUUGCUCCUCAACCUACUCAACCUACUGAACCUAUUGAACCUACUGAAAAUGAGACUCCUUUUCAGAUUCCUUUGGGUAUGAUGGAAAAACUGCUAGCUAACACUUUUGCAGGAGAUGGAACAAAGCAUCCUGACAAACAUCUACGCUAUGUGGAUGAUAUUUAUGGACUAUUUAAGCUUGCAGGUAUACCCGAUGAUGUUGUUAAGAAGAAGGCUUUCCCUUUAUCUUUGGAGGGAGACGCAUUGACAUGGUAUAGGCUAUGUGAUGAUACGAGAUCAUGGAACUAUAAAAGACUGAAAUUGGAAUUUCAUCAAAAGUAUUACCCUAUGCAUCUUGUUCAUCGUGAUCGCAAUUAUAUAUAA